UGCGCGGAAGAUGUAACGGGGCUAAACCAUGCACCGAAGCUGCGGCAGCGACACUAUGUGUUGUUGGGUAGGGGAGCGUUCUGUAAGCCUGCGAAGGUGACCUGUGAGGGUUGCUGGAGGUAUCAGAAGUGCGAAUGCUGACAUAAGUAACGAUAAAGCGGGUGAAAAGCCCGCUCGCCGGAAGACCAAGGGUUCCUGUCCAACGUUAAUCGGGGCAGGGUGAGUCGACCCCUAAGGCGAGGCCGAAAGGCGUAGUCGAUGGGAAACAGGUUAAUAUUCCUGUACUUGGUGUUACUGCGAAGGGGGGACGGAGAAGGCUAUGUUAGCCGGGCGACGGUUGUCCCGGUUUAAGCAUGUAGGCUGGUUAUCCAGGCAAAUCCGGAUAAUCAAGGCUGAGGUGUGAUGACGAGGCACUACGGUGCUGAAGUAACAAAUGCCCUGCUUCCAGGAAAAGCCUCUAAGCAUCAGGUAACAUCAAAUCGUACCCCAAACCGACACAGGUGGUCAGGUAGAGAAUACCAAGGCGCUUGAGAGAACUCGGGUGAAGGAACUAGGCAAAAUGGUGCCGUAACUUCGGGAGAAGGCACGCUGGUGUGUAGGUGAAGUCCCUGCGGAUGGAGCUGAGACCAGUCGAAGAUACCAGCUGGCUGCAACUGUUUAUUAAAAACACAGCACUGUGCAAACACGAAAGUGGACGUAUACGGUGUGACGCCU
rnacentral:rRNA from 1 species